rnacentral:tRNA from 1 species
CGGGCGCGCGGGGGGGGCCCCCCCCCCCCUGGGGCGGGGGCGCGGGGGGGCCGGGGGGGCCCGCCCCCCCGUGGCCGG